UGAGACAGAGAUCCACUUCAUCCUUCCAACAGGCAAGCAAGUCCAGUGGAAUUGUACCCUUCCAGUGUCCUACUGCAAAGCAGACCUUGAUGAAUCUUCGGAUGCUGCAGACUAUCUUCCAGACUCAUGUGGCAAUUCCUCGGAUGCUUCUAUUAUAAGUACUACAAGUUCUUGUAGUAAGGAAUAUAAAACCACAGAAAAGAAUCUCCACCACAAAUUGUCAGAGAACAAACCAUUAGGGAAUGUUACAGCACACAGUGGGGAUAGUACCACCAGUUCAGAGAAGCCAAGAACAUUAAGUUAUUCAAAGAUGCGCAGCAAUCCUUGUACUUCAGUAAUAAGCUGCAGUGCCAAUUCAUCAGAGAACACAUCACACCAGAAAAGCUCCAUAAAUGUCACACCUUUGUCAAUAACAGCAAAAGGAAGCAAGUACAACAAGAAGCAAUUUUGUCUUUAUUGUAAAAAGGCCAUUUAUAAAUUGGCAAGACACCUCGAAUCCAUCCACAGUGAAAAGCCUGAUGUUGCAAUGGCUUUCAGUUUUAAUAAAGGAUCCCGCAAAAGAAGAGAGUUGUUACGCUCUCUUAAGAAGAGAUGAAACUUUGACCAUAAUACUGAAGUGGCAAGCUGUGGCACUGGAGAGAUGGUUGCCUGUAAAAGACCUAGUAAUGCAAAACCAUCUGAUGACUACCGUGACUGCAAAUUUUGCGAAGGACUGUAUGCAAGAAAUUCCCUAUGGAGACAUGUGAGAAACUGCCCGAAGAAGUCUGUUGAGGGAGAGCCUCAAGUUGGGCGAAAACGGAUUCAACUGCACUUACCAAGACCUGACUCAGUUAAGAAAACUGUUUGGAAGAUUGCUUGUGAAAUGAACCAGGAUGACGUUUCCUCGGUUGUAAGGAGUGAAACUGAAUUCCUUUGUAUCGGCGAGUCACUGUUGAAUUCCAGGAAACCAUAUGAGAGAAGGAAUGACUACAUACGCCAAAAAAUUAGAGUGAUGGCAAGACUAUUGAUAACGGCAAGGGCUAUAACACCUUUGAAGAGCACCGAAGUCCUUGUUAUGCCCUGUAACUUUCCCCAUGUGAUACAGGCAGUAAGAUAUGUUGCUGGUUAUGAUGUUGAAAGCAACUCGUAUAAAAUCCCAUCAUUGGCUUUGAAAUUGGGACACAGUUUAGCCAAAGUUGCAGGCAUUAUUCAAUGCAAUGCCAUCACUGCAAAUCGCCCUGCUGUUGCAGAGUCUGCAAAGCAAUUUGCCACUUUACAUCAGAAAAAGUGGACAGAGUCCAUUUCAGCUGCCGCAUUGGGUACACUUCAACAAGCCAAAUGGAAUAAACCACAGGUUUGACCCUUUAUAGAGGAUGUGUCGGUGCUGCACACGUUUCUUGCUACUGAGCGUGCUAAGUGUAUGAAGGACCUUGAGGAAGAACCCAACAGCAAAAGCUUUGGAAAUCUUCCUAAAGUGACUUUGAUGCAGGUAGUACUAUUUAACAGAAGGAGGGAAGGGGAAGUUUCAAAAUGGAGCUUCAGUCUUUCACAUCCAGGGAUCUUACGGAGCUGAAUCCAGACAUUGUGAGGGGCCUUACUGACUUCGAGAGGAAGCUUGCAGAGCACUUUGAGAGAGUUGAGAUUCGAGGUAAAAGGUCAAGAAAGGUUCCAGUGCUUCUAACCCCUGACAUGAUCACUGCUAUGGACCUCCUCAUGAUAAGCAGAAAAGAGUGUCAAGUCCACAAAGAAAAUGUGUACAUGUUUACACGGCCAGGUGUCCUUUCCCAUUACAGAGGCUCCGACUGCUUUCGCAAGUAUUCAAACAAUGUGGUGCAAAGAACCCAGAGGCACUCACCUCAACAAGAUUGCGGAAACAAGUCGCCACUUUGUCCACACUACUAAACCUCAAAGAAAAUGAAAUGGAUCAACUUGCCACCUUUCUAGGACAUGACAUCCGUGUCCAUAGAGAAUUCUAUCGGCUUCCAGAGAGUACCCUGCAGCUCGCAAAAGUCAGCAAACUGUUGAUAGCAAU